CAAAGAACAAGCAAGGGCUUGAGCUGUACAACUGCGGUGCCUUUUGACUCGAUUUGUUUCGGUUCACGUCACAAGCUUUUGCUGUAAGAAUCAAUGAAAACGAAGAAGCCCACACGGCUGAUAAUUGAUGGUGCACACUCCGGUGCCUUUGGCAGAGCCCUUUUUCUGCCUGUCCCCUCUUGUAAGAGUGACCUCAGAGUUGCCUCUGCGCACAUGUAGGACACCGAAGUCCGGGUCUCCAGCACCCCCUGGAUGUGGCCUUAAACAGAAACAACCUUGCCAAAGGCGAGCAGAGUGGGGCUGAUAGGGGUCUCAUCCACCAGGGCAGCUCUUUGUGGAAAGGGGCUAGUGCACAGACCUGACACGGAAGAAGAUGUGCCCUGGCUGCCGUAAGAAAGCAGGCUGAGCAAGCCUGGGAGAGCAAGCCAGUGAGCAGCAUCCCUCCAUGGCCUCUGCAUCAGCUCCUGUACUGCACCAGCUUCCUGCCCUGAGUUGUGCUUCCUGAGCUCUCUGCCUCCUGCCUGUGAGACGUGAGCUCCUAGCUGCUGCUCCAGCCGUCUGCCUUGCUCCCCCAUCAUAGACUGUCAUCCUCUGACACUGUAAACCCAACUAAACUCGUUCUUUCAA